UCGACAUGGUUGACUGCAUUGACAGCAAAUGCUUGGCGAUGGCGGGUCCGGCUGGCACACAGUAGCCUCUCAUGUGUGAGUUUAGCGUUGGACUGAAGGAUCCCCGAGCGUUCGUUUGGCGAUGGUGGGACCUGGUCGCCCACGUGCUCUUACCAGUGCCCUUCUGCAGCCAUUUCUGGAUCUAAUUGGAGCCCUGAAUGGUGCAUUUCCUGCGUCAGAUACGCAUCCCGUAUGACACUUUCGCGCAGACAAUGGUUGGCAGGGACGUCGGCGACGCUACAGUUGGUGCCUGCAACAUUGACACAGCUUAAGAUACGAAAUGAUGUGAAAGUAGGUGGAUUGGAGCAGGAAUCUUGAAUCUAGGGUUUUGGAUUGGAGGACUCUCAGGAAAGAACUGCGAGGAUUGAUGUUCGGAAUGGUUUCGCGCUGUAAUGCAAAGGUUUGUGGGUCGUGCGCAAUGCAGCAAGUUUUGUAACUCUGCUCCACUUCGUUUUUGAAGCAAUGUUCAUGCCACCGAGCUCCAGUCUUGAAAUUUGUGGUUGAAUCUGUCGCGUCAGCUGGGUGGUUGGCUGGGAGCAGUAAUUUGCUAAAUUUAUUCUUCGUCGGCUUGCGUUCAUUGUUAUCCGUUUUCGAUCAGUUAGCAGUACGUGCUGGCAAGGACGAGAAGCAGCAAGGGCUGCUAACUGUGCGAUGGAAUGGAGAGGGUGUGCAAAGCUCAGGUAACGAUUUUGGGAAGGCAGGUGUUUUCCUUGAGGGAUCACUGAAGCACAUCGUCCUGCAGCCACCGAUCAGGCUGGACAGGUUCCAACCCAACGCAAAUUAUGCAGCAGCAAUCAAAGAGGUUUUGUUUUCUCUGUCAGACAUGGCGUACCUUGGGAUGGAGCUGAUGGUCGGGAUGCUGUUGUGUAAUUUGGACGGGAGUUUGGUGGAGAUAAGGAUUUCGUAGUCGGAAGUUGUUCUCCACGGCCUUCAUUGAGAAACGUGGUGGUUAUUGUGCCCAUGGUGCUCAAUGUUCACCCCGGGUCAAAGCUUGAGGGAUUAAGUACAGGAGAGAGGGGAGUCUGUGACCUCAACUGCCCCCGCAGAAUGUGCAGGGCCAAGAUCAAAUCGCUGAACCAGAUUAGUCGAGCGUUUCCUAGACUAAGUGACAAGAUCAUACAGCUUGAUUUCGUUACCGACCGCUGAGUUUACAUGCUAAACUAAGACGGUUAGACGUUUCCUUCUUAAUGCUAGAGUCAGCGAGAUGCAAGGCUUUCAACACCCUCCCUCGAGCUUGGCUCGACUCCAAGAUGGGCAGAGGCAUGAGCUGAUGAAUCUACAGACAAGUUCCUAAAUUUGGACAAGGGACAAACUUCCCUGUUAUCUGAAUGACGAAGAAUUUUGCAAUAAUUGCAUCUUAUCAAUAGUCCGCAUGCCGAUUCCUCUUCGAUGUUGCUCGAACUUGAUGCAAGAAAGCGCUUUGGUUAGAAUAUCUGCAGGUUGCUCGGAUGUAGAAAUGUGCUGAACUGUGACUUCCAAUGCCAGAACUUGCUCUCUGACGAAAUGGUGAUGAAUCUCCAGGUGUUUUGUUCUGGCGUGGAAGACUGGAUUCUUUGCCAGUUUGAUAGCACUGACGUUGUCACACAGGAGGUGCAAAUCUUGCUGUGUCAGAAUGUGAGCUAUAGACAUAUUACUUGAGAUCGUGGCAUCUUUGCAAUUUAAAUAAGCCGGUGGCAACAUGUGCAUUCGUAGUUCCUCAAUUAGGCGCUUCAGGUAGACACCUUCUUGUGCUCCGUCUGAAAGAGCUCUAUACUCAUCUUCAGUGGUGGCUCGAGACACUGUAGGCUGACAUUUGCUGCUCCAAUUAACCGGUCUCGAUGCCAGCGUGAACAAGUGAACUCCGGUGGACCGCCUUGUGUCUGGACACGAGUUACCUCAAUCUGAAUCAGUAAAACCUUUGAGCUCCAGUUCUGGGCACCUUUGAAAUGAAAUUCCCAGGUCUACAGUUCCCUUAAUGUAUCGCAGAAUGUGUACCGCAGCAUCCCAAUGAGCUUGCCAGGGAUGUGCCAUAAACCUGCUGACUACAACAGCGAAUGACAAAUCGGGCCUAGGAUUAGUUAGAUAUAUCAAUUUUCCUACCAGUCGGCAAUACGUAGUAAAGUCAAAUUCCGCAGUGCCUGUUUCAGCCGACAGAGUUAGCUCUUCAGGAAGUGGCGUCUUGACAGGGCGACAAUUUUCCAUGCUGUUAUCCUUGAUCAAGCCGUGGCAGCAGUCUGCCUGAUGCAUUAAAAUUCCAGUGUCUGUGACGAGUAAAUCUACUCCCAGGUAUCUUCGUGCUGUUCCCAAAUCUUUCAUGUCAUACUUGGAGCAGAGCUGAUCCUUAAUUGAGUUGAUCAGUUUGGUUGAUGAACCUGUAAUGAGCAGGUCAUCGACGAACAUAAUAAUGAUCGCAAUAUCUUUGCCUUUUCGGAAAAUGUAUUGGUUAGGAUCGAGAAGACUACUAGUGCAUCCAAUUUGACGGAAAAAGGAAUCGACUUCAUCACACCAGGUUCGUGGGCUUUGUUUUUGCCCGUAGAUUGACCGCUUCAGUCUGCAGACAAGAUGCUCCUUUCCAGCGACCUCAAAUCCAGCUGGUUGAUCCAUGAAGAUAAGUUCUUUCAGGGUCCCGUUGAGGAACGCUGUUACUACGUCCAUCUGAGAGAUGGGCCAGCCAAAUGCCGAUGCUGAUGCCACCACGAGUCCGACAGUUGACCAUUUUACGACUGGUGCGAAGGUUUCAUCAUAAUUGAGACCUGGCCUUUGCUCGUUCCCACGAGCCACUACUCGAGCUUUGUAACGAAUGUUGCCAGCAUGAUCUGUCUUAGUUCUCAGGAUCCACUUUGCGGAAAGUGAGGACUCGACAGGAGGUGAUUCUGCAAGCUCCUAAGUGCCAUUCCGAAAAUGUGCUUCCAUUUCGACCUCCAUGGCCUCUCUCCACCUUCGGUCCUGAAUGACAUCUGCAAAUCGAAUUUCACUAGAAGUGUCAGUUAGUAAUGCAUAAUCGGUGGUAGCAGUGUACAUGUGAUACCCCAGAUGUCUUGAGUUGUCCGAUUUGAUUCUUGUUGAAGGUUCUCGAGGUAGUGGAAGAGGUUUUGGUAGUCGCUUCCGUUUUUCCCUCAGAACUGGUGGAGAGGGACUAUGAUGCACUGUAUCGUCUCGAGUGUCGCCAGUGACAUCUGAAUCUCUUGAAUCAACAAGCAUGGCAGCAUCCGUCUCAGUGUCAUCUGAUGAAACGAUGGCCAAGCUUAGAGCGCAUAGCUUCAGGAAUGUGAACAUGGGCAAUACUGCCUGUAAUGCGGAAGUGUGAUACAUCGGGUUUUGCACCAAACAGGCAUUCGAAAGGUGUGAUGGAAUUCAGAUCACGGGUACUACAUCGAUUAUUGAUGUGAUUCAAAGUGCGAACUAGCUCUCCCCAGAGGAAGGCUGGAAGAUUUUUGCCUAAAGUUAGGCAGCGAACCAUCUUGAACAAGAUUCGGUUUUUCCUUUCCGCCACCCCAUUUUGAUGAGGUGUGCGGGCGACUGUCAAUUAACGACGUAUUCCUUGACUGUGGAGAUAUCGAGAAAAUUGAUCUGACAUAUAUUCUCCGCCACGGUCGCUACGUACGCACGAGAUUUUGUUCUGAAGCUGGUUUUCUACUUGUUUGAAAAGCUUGAAGUAAUCAAACACUUGACUUUUUAGCCUUGUAGGGAACACCCAUGAGUAACGACUGAAGUCGUCUGUAAAAGUCAGGACAGAGCGGGGUCCAUCAGCUGCUGCAACAGCAGGUCCACUCUACGAUGGCGAUGUAGGCGUUGGUGAGGAAAGUACACACGUAGCAGUGAGAGUCGGAUGUGUAAGAAAGUAUUUUCGUCCAAGUUUUCUAAGUGGGGGAUCAGGAGGAAGACGGUCAAGCUUGUACAGCUUUGACUCCGGGUCCCUGGUCCCUCGACGAAACACUUUGGAUGGAAUUUUCUUGUCCAUCACCAGACAGCUCUUCGCUUUAAAAACAAGAUGUCCUAGAUCAGCAAGCUGGCCAACUGAGAGUUCCUAGUGACUUUCGGUACAUACAAAACUUCAGAGAUUUUAUUGCCUGCAACAGAUAUACAUCCAGGACCAGAAGUAAGUAGCUUAGCACCACUAGCAGUGGGAACAUUGGCAGAUGGAUGCUUGUUGAGCUCAGAGAAUGACUCCCUUUCAUGACUUAAGCAGUAGCUCCUAAGUCAACUACCCAGGACUUAAUGAGAGGAGUUGAGUUGGAUUUUUCAAUCAAUUUAAACUCACUUAGCAUCGCUUCUA